CGGUGGAUGAUGUGUUUAAUUCGAUGCAACGCGAAAACCUUACCCACCUUUGACAUGUACGGAACUCGCCAGAGAUGGCUUGGUGCUCGAAAGAGAACCGUAACACAGGUGCUGCAUGGCUGUCGUCAGCUCGUGUCGUGAGAUGUUGGGUUAAGUCCCGCAACGAGCGCAACCCUUGUCAUUAGUUGCUACAUUUAGUUGGGCACUCUAAUGAGACUGCCGGUGACAAGCCGGAGGAAGGUGGGGAUGACGUCAAGUCCUCAUGGCCCUUAUAGGUGGGGCUACACACGUCAUACAAUGGCUGGUACAGAGGGUUGCCAACCCGCGAGGGGGAGCUAAUCCCAUAAAACCAGUCGUAGUCCGGAUCGCAGUCUGCAACUCGACUGCGUGAAGUCGGAAUCGCUAGUAAUCGCGGAUCAGAAUGUCGCGGUGAAUACGUUCCCGGGUCUU
rnacentral:rRNA from 1 species